GAGGAAGCAGGGUCCCUGGUAGCAAAUCCCAGAUGCAUGUUCUAUAAACCAUGGAGGAAGAGUUCACCCAUCACAAAAAAGUCAGAUGAUCCUGGCAGACCUUUUUCUCUGCUGCCUUGGUGGUUGCAGCAAUUUCAAGGAUGAAGAAAGAGACACAGAGCAUCUAAGUCAAGGACUGAAGGGCCCUGGUGGGCCAUCUGCUGGGCAAGGCACCACGCUCACACGUAUGGAACCUCUCCUACCCAGAUUUCUUCCUAAGAGCUGCCAGAGGACAAAAGGUUGGAAACUGCAGUCCUGGCCUCUGCCUUUAUAGCUCCCUCGGGGCCACCCCGGCCUGCCCUUCCUGACCGACGCACAAGCAGCUGGAGAAGCUCGGGGGGCAAGGGAGAGCAAGACCGGCCCUGUCCCCUGGAUGGGUGGGGCUGGCCCAAGAAAUCCAUGUCUGAGCCCUGCUUCCCCAAGGAGGGGGUCCCCCAGAGCCUGUGUCCAAACCACACUGAUGGGCUGGCUGCUGCCAAGGGGCCAGUCCCGCUCUCCCAGCUUUCAAAAUUACCAUCCUUAAAAAAAAAAAAAAGAGGGGCGCCUGGGUGGCGCAGUCGGUUAAGCGUCCGACUUCAGCCAGGUCACGAUCUCACGGUCUGUGAGUUCGAGCCCCGCGCCGGGC